rnacentral:rRNA from 1 species
AGCCACACUGGAACUGAGACACGGUCCAGACUCCUACGGGAGGCAGCAGUGGGGAAUAUUGCACAAUGGGCGCAAGCCUGAUGCAGCCAUGCCGCGUGUGUGAAGAAGGCCUUCGGGUUGUAAAGCACUUUCAGCGAGGAGGAAGGUGGUGAGCUUAAUACGUUCAUCAAUUGACGUUACUCGCAGAAGAAGCACCGGCUAACUCCGUGCCAGCAGCCGCGGUAAUACGGAGGGUGCAAGCGUUAAUCGGAAUUACUGGGCGUAAAGCGCACGCAGGCGGUUUGUUAAGUCAGAUGUGAAAUCCCCGGGCUCAACCUGGGAACUG